AAUCAACGCUGGCGGCGUGCCUCAGACAUGCAAGUCGAACGAUUAAACUUUCCUUCGGGAAAGAUAUAAAGUGGCGCACGGGUGAGUAACACGUAAGUAAUCUGCCUUUGAGUGGGGAAUACCUUCGGGAAACCGAAGCUAAUACCGCAUAAUGCAGCGGCACCGCAAGGUGACAGUUGUUAAAGGAGCAAUCCGCUUAAAGAGGAGCUUGCGGCAGAUUAGCUAGUUGGUAAGGAAUGGCUUACCAAGGCUACGAUCUGUAACCGGUCUAAGAGGACGGUCGGUCACACUGACACUGAAUAACGGGUCAGACUCCUACGGGAGGCAGCAGUCGGGAAUUUUGGGCAAUGGGCGAAAGCCUGACCCAGCAACGCCGCGUGAAGGAUGAAGUAUUUCGGUAUGUAAACUUCGAAAGAAUGGGAAGAAAACAAUGACGUACCAUUUAUAAGGUCCGGCUAACUACGU
rnacentral:rRNA from 1 species